rnacentral:rRNA from 1 species
AUGUUAGUGCGGUGGAGAACGGGGGCUUCCUCUUCUGGUGGAAUGGGAAAUCUCCACCUGGGGGACUGUGGUGGUCGGUGGAGCAUGUUCAGGAGGAACGGUGGCAUCAGGAUAAGGACUUGGAUUAUUGCUGAUAUGGAAGGAAGUAAAAAACUGAGGGGGAUCUGUAACACCUUUUUGACACUAGCGUCUGAUGCUCGAGAUGCUGAGGCAAGUUUUCGUGAAGCAGCUAGCGAGCCCAAGGGAACAGAACAAGCGGAUAUAAUAAGAGGGUGCGCAAGUGCACACAAGAGGCCUUACGCGUCAGGAAGUUCGGAGUAUGCAUCUAGAGCUUUUAACAUGUCGAAUUCCUCCAACUGGCUGCUCUGCGUUUCAUUUGAAUGA